rnacentral:rRNA from 1 species
GACGAACGCUGGCGGCGUGCUUAACACAUGCAAGUCGAACGGUAAGGCCCUUCGGGGUACACGAGUGGCGAACGGGUGAGUAACACGUGGGUGAUCUGCCCUGCACUUCGGGAUAAGCCUGGGAAACUGGGUCUAAUACCGGAUAGGACCACUGCCUGCAUGGGUGGUGGGGGAAAGCUUUUGCGGUGUGGGAUGGGCCCGCGGCCUAUCAGCUUGUUGGUGGGGUGAUGGCCUACCAAGGCGACGACGGGCACCCGGCCUGAGAGGGUGACCGGCCACACUGGGACUGAGAUACGGCCCAGACUCCUACGGGAGGCAGCAGUGGGGAAUAUUGCACAAUGGGCGCAAGCCUGAUGCAGCGACGCCGCGUGAGGGAUGACGGCCUUCGGGUUGUAAACCUCUUUCAGCACCGACGAAGCGCAAGUGACGGUAGGUGCAGAAGAAGGACCGGCCAACUACGUGCCAGCCGCCGCAGUAA